GGGCCUGUAGGUAAACGGCAUACCGUAUCAUUCGCAUUGAUAAGUUCGGAGUUCAAUUCUCCGCAGGUCCA
rnacentral:tRNA from 1 species